UACGUAGGGUGCAAGCGUUAAUCGGAAUUACUGGGCGUAAAGCGUGCGCAGGCGGUUGUGCAAGACAGAUGUGAAAUCCCCGGGCUUAACCUGGGAAUUGCAUUUGUGACUGCACGGCUAGAGUGUGUCAGAGGGGGGUAGAAUUCCACGUGUAGCAGUGAAAUGCGUAGAUAUGUGGAGGAAUACCGAUGGCGAAGGCAGCCCCCUGGGCCAACACUGACGCUCAUGCACGAAAGCGUGGGGAGCAAACAGG
rnacentral:rRNA from 1 species